GGGUUGUGAGGUUAAGCGACUAAGCGUACACGGUGGAUGCCCUGGCAGUCAGAGGCGAUGAAGGACGUGCUAAUCUGCGAUAAGCGCCGGUAAGGUGAUAUGAACCGUUAUAACCGGCGAUUUCCGAAUGGGGAAACCCAGUGUGAUUCGUCACACUAUCAUUAACUGAAUCCAUAGGUUAUU
rnacentral:rRNA from 1 species